ACACGACUCUCGGCAAUGGAUAUCUCGGCUCUCGCAUCGAUGAAGAGCGCAGCGAAAUGCGAUACGUGGUGCGAAUUGCAGAAUCCCGCGAACCAUCGAGUCUUUGAACGCAAGUUGCGCCCGAGGCCAACCGGCCAAGGGCACGUCUGCCUGGGCGUCAAU
rnacentral:rRNA from 1 species